UCUGGAGAUAACAAGGAAGACAUCUUUUAAAUUGGAGCUGCACGAAUAUCAGGCUCUGAUCAGACCAAGGCUCAAUUUGGAUUUCCUUCUCCAAGUAUCUGCCUCUUCUGUUAAUGUUUGUGUAAAGGCAACCGCAUGCUCUCUUCAUGGAAUGCUGUUGCUACGUUAGGGUCUGAGCCUGCUUAGAACGUAGGAGUGGGCUUUGACUAGAUGAUCAGUGUUACAUACUGUGGCUGAGUUGCUACUCUUGACACAUACGACGCAUAUUUUCAUAAGAUCCACUUUUUCUUCCUUGGUCUCCCCAUCAAAAUUUGUUUUAUGUGUGUGUGUUAGUGUGUGUAUCUGUUUGUUUGUUUUUUUUUUCGCUGAUGAUUACAAUAGAAAAAAUUUGACAUUUCUAUUUCAGGUAUUUUUGAUCCAAUUUCUAGGGAGUGAAGAAGCUCAUUAAGUGCCACUUUCAUCAAGUGUCACAAUGUUACGCAACAUACCUGAGAAACAAGCAGGACACAAGUUUGAGUAUUGAUGUUUAGUCUGCGAGUUUGACUCAGGGAACAAAUGAGGAGUGACAGCUUGUCCUCAACACCGGCGUACCUCAAUGUCUACGACUUGCACCAGAACCGCAAAGCUAGUCAUGUGAUCACAGCUGCAUGUGACAAAGGUCUCGGUGUCUGAGAUUAGUACCUUUCCACUUCCAUCUCCUCUUCAUUUUCAUCUUGGCUGUCAGUGUCUUCCCCCGGCCCCAUCUUGUCCUGCAGCAGGGG